UGUAAAGAAAGCAAAUGAGCAAUCAUGGCAUUUGUGCUGCUGGCUACGCCCACCUCUUUUAUUUCAGUGCUCAUCAAUAGUCUUGCCAAUGGUUCCUUCAAUUUCUUCUCAAGCUUACCACCAUUGAUCCAGCUUAAAAUUGGCAAGCAAUCCACAGGAUUUGAUGCCUCACCAUUUUAUAUUUUGCUUCUGGGCUCUGACUGGCUGGGCGUUAUGUAGUGUGGAUCUGUUGUCUUGUAAUGGCCUUGGGCCUUUAUACUUCAAUAUGCAGGGGUUUUAUUCAGUGUUUUGGAAGCACAUGCUCUUUUUUUCAUGAUAGAUAAAGUCCACAUAUCAACUGAUAAUUCGCAUAACACCCACUUGAUUUCAUCUUUUCGGGUGCUCGGAAAUGUGUUAAGGCGAUGAGUUUAGAAGAUUUCAACAAUUCCUAUUCGGCGGAGGUUGCACUAUCGAUCGCCGUAUGGCACCGAGACGAUAUUGUUUAGUUUGCUUGCUUGUUGAGAGAGAUUAACUGGGUCUUUUACCGAAGCCGAGCAAAGGUAGGACUGUUUAUACUUUUUAGCUGCAGAAUUUUGAUUUCACAUGGCUGGAAAAUGAAGUACCAAAAGGAAAAUUGAAAGAAUACAAAUAUUGUUUUGGACCCAUCUGGAUUUUUUUGCCAACUAUCGUGUUGAAGCAGGUGACUUGUGCAAGUGGCACAACUUCAGCCGCACAAACGAUCAAGAAACAGAUUCCUGAUGUCCAUGAAAGGAUUAACAUUUAGCCAGUAGGGUAAAUAUAGUGCAGGAAUAUAUUCUUCAGUUAAAGAACAGUCCAAAGGCAGCUAUCAGGUAACUUGUAUUUUGUAUUUGAAGGAUAUUAUCUAUGAGUCAUGCCUAAAAUGGGAAACUGUGUCUGUAGCUAGCUGCUGCUGGUGUUUUAUGUGGUGGAGCCAAAUUUGGUAAUAAGAUAUAGCAUAGGCAUCACAUGGGAUUAAUGAACUUAAUGUUUGUUUAAUUACUAUUUAGAGAGAGUUUUCCGCAAAGUGGCUUUAUCCACCAAUUCAACAAUAGAAAUUUGCAGAUUUGAACUUAUUUCAGAAAUGGAAGGCACUAACAACAGAUUAGCAGGACAAAGGUGUGCUGUUGUUACUGGGGCUAACAAAGGAAUUGGACUACAAAUAUGUCAUCAAUUAGCAGUAAAUGGAGUUUUAGUUGUGUUAACAGCUAGAGAUGAGAAGAAGGGUUUACAAGCUGCCAGAAAACUUCAAGAACAUGGAGUAUCUGAUAUGGUUUUUCAUCAACUUGAUGUUAUUGAUCCAGCUAGUAUUGCUUCACUGGCAAAGUUCAUUCAAAUCAAGUUUGGCAAACUUGAUAUCCUGGUAAAUAAUGCAGGUGUUGGUGGACUCUUCGUAGACCGGAAACUUUUAGAAGCCUUCAAAGUUAGGGGUGGUGCAGUAAGUCCUCGGGAUGUUAUAUAAGCUCUUUUCGUGCUUGAAUCAUGGAAUAAUUAAUAUGCAUCUCCUUGUAGUUCUAUGCCUUGCUGCAAGAAUAUGAAAUGAAAUCAAAAUUAAACAGAAUUAUGUGUAGAAAAUCUUUCUGCUAGAUUCCAUUUUGUUCUGUUUUAAACUUUUAAAUUGCUGCAGUUAACCGACGAGAAUGCACACCAGUUAGAAGGAAUUAUUCAGCAGAAUUAUGAGAUGACAGAAGAAUGUUUGAAAACCAACUACUAUGGAACCGUACUAGUAACUGAAGCACUUCUUCCACUUCUGGAACUCUCUCAGUCUGCAAGAAUAGUGAAUCUUUCUUCCUUUUAUGGACAAAUGAAGGUAAUAAAGCACCUCAGAAAAGAUUCAUGCUUAACAUAUGCAUCUCAGUGGAUGAAAAACAAAAAUCAUAAAGUUUCCUUACAUUUCAGUUUAUCAACAAUGAGAAGGUUAAAAUGCAGCUAGAAAACGAUGAGAGCCUAACAAUGGAAAAACUAGACGAGAUUGUGCAAUGGUUUUUAAGUGAUUUCAAGGAGGGAAAGUUGUUGGAAAAUGGCUGGCCUCUAACUGUAUCUGCCUACAAAAUAUCCAAGGCUGCCAUAAAUGCCUAUACUAGACUCUUAGCAAGAAAGUUCCCCAGAUUCCGAGUAAAUUGUGUCCAUCCAGGGUUGGUGAAAACAGACAUGACAGGAAACACUGGAAGCUUGACUCCUGAAGAAGGUGCAAGAGCUCCGGUUAUGCUGGCUUUGCUCCCUGAUAGCGGUCCUUCAGGUCUCUACUUCUCUGAGAUGGAUGUAUCCAGCUUUUGAUGGAAGACACUGGGGGUGAGGAGUUGCAAUUUUCAGACUUUAAAGCAUUAAAAUAAUAAUAGUAGUAAGAAAAAUUAACUUCUAGUUUCAAUGGUGAGAUUCAGAAGUAAAUCCAACCUCUCCUUUCAUGUACUGUAUGUUAAGGCAAAGAAAUGAAAGAAU
rnacentral:misc_RNA from 1 species